CCCACACUGCACAGUGAAUGUAAUCCUAUUAGAGAAGAUUUAGAGGAUAAGAUGCCUGUCAACCCAUAGUAACACUGUUAAUAGCACAGCUUUUCCUACCAACAGUGAGUGAGUGAAUGGAAGAUAUACUUUCUUAUCACAUUCAGAAUGUCAAGAGGAUUUGCCUGCCUGGUACAAGAAUGCUGGGUGGCAAUGUUUUGAGGAUUUCUGGCAAAUGUUCGGCCAAUCAGCUUUCUCCAUCUCAUUCACUUCCCAUCUGCCCUGUAGAGAUUUAGUGACAGCAUUAAACCAUGAGAAAAUAAGCUUUACCAGUCUGAGGACCCAGACAGGUUUCAGGGUCUGAUGAGGAUUUCACUCUCUAGUCCUUACUUCUUCUGGAGAACUUCAGUCUAUUGCAGAAUGAUGUCUCUGCUGUAUGCUUUGUUUCUCUGGGCAGUAUGGCCCCAAUUUCCUGUUGUCAAAACCAAAGAUGCUGUUGAAGAGCCUAAAACCACAGACUCUUUUAAAACAGACACUUCUCAGACUCAUCGAGUUAGCAGCGGCCUAAUGCAGUGUGGGGAAUACAGCAAUGAAGUGAUGCCAAACGGACAGUGUCGUUUAAUAGCCACUUUACCUCAGUUGGAGGAGCAGCGGUGUCCAGACAUGUUCCGCUGUACAGAUGAGGUCUCCUACUGGCUGCGUGAGAACGAAGAGCGCAAGCAGCAAAUGCAGGACCUGAAAGAGACCAUCUCAGAGCUUCAAGAGGAGCUGAGGAAUCACAGGCAUCGCAUUAAAGUGCUGGAACUGCAGCGUGAGGAGAAGUAUGGCGUAAACUCAUCUUUAGAGCAUCGCUUCCACAUGCUGCAGGAGAUCUAUGAAGAGGCCAAUGCACUGCUGCACAUCCACGGAUCACUCAUAUAUGACAUGCAAACACAGAUUCGCAACCUCACUAUGAUAGUAGAGCGUGUGAGGCGCAAUCCUGGCUGUAUGAUCAAUAUCAUCCGCACAAAUCCGCUCCUCGGUGCCCAAGAUACCCUUCAUCCAGGUCAGCAUGACUAG
rnacentral:lncRNA from 1 species